GUCACAUUGAGUUCGUUUCCAGUUUCUAGACUUCCACUCAGUUUACGCCUGCUCGUGGUCUAGAUCACUUUUUAUUUCAGGGUAUAUAAAUAUAGUGGAAUUGGGUCACGGGGAAUCACCAACAGCAUCAACAUGAUGACCAAGAUCAAGACCACUGUAAUCAACUUACCAACCCCUUCUUAACAUCAUGGGUUAAUUAGUUCAUGGAUAGCAACGAUGGGAGUCCUCCUCACGGUGGAGAUCCUGCAAUGGAUGCAGGGGAUUAGAGGAACCAAUUGCAGGUGGAUUCGUGGAAAAGAAUUGUCA